rnacentral:lncRNA from 1 species
UUCAAUAUGUAGGUGCGUGCUACUAUCCAUGUGGCAUAUCUAAUAGGUCAGACUGGUUUGCUAGCUUAAUUUUUUAGCUUGAUGUUUUCAUUUAGGGGUGUCCUCUUCAGCUGCAUCUUUUGUGCAGCUCCAAAAUUCUAUCUUUCAAAGCACUUAUUUCCAUGUUCUGUUUAUUAUUUUUAAGUCAUGAAAACUCUUUUCGGUGUGCUUGAUCACUCCACUUCCAUGUUUAUCCUUGCAGAAAAGAAUACCUUUAUCCUGAUAGGCAUGGAAACACCGGUUCGCAUUGAGUGCAUCAUCGCUAAUCAGCUACUAUGUAUGGUCAGCGGACAUGCUUUCUUAUUCCUGUAACAUAUCAUUACUCUAUCUCCUUAGCCUUUCUAACUUUUAAGAUUUGAUCAAUUCUUUAGAAGUUCGUACAGAUCUAGAAGUAUUUGGUUUUGUUGGUCAAAUCCAUUACCUGUAUAUCCUUAUUUAUUUUAUUGUUCGAACAAGAUAUCAGAUCACCUACAUUCAUUAUUCUUGAUUACAGUCUCAUACUAAAGUUUAUGAAUUCUAGGCAACUAUUCAGAACUAUAAAGAUCAAAACUUUGAAGUAAAUUCUAUGGUCUUCAAAGUUUUGAUCUUUAUUUGGUUAGUAAGGCUCUAGAAUAAAACAGACCAAUGAUAUAUAUACAAACAGACACAAUAGGAGUUAACUGGUACCUAGCUUUUGAAACCUCUGAUAUAUACAAAAUAUUAUUUGAGUAGAACAGGAGAGAUGCAAUUUUGUGGAUAUUUCCGCAUUUGUAAGAAACUUUCUAGCUUGGCAAGAGGGCUUGACUAGCCAUGUGUAGGACUCAGCCAUGCUGCCUUCCAAAUGAUUAGUCAUUGGUGUUUUCUUAUGUUCGUGUUAGCCCAAGUGCGUCAGAUAAGUAGACUGUUAUGUUGAAAAAAGGAAAGAGACUACUCUUUUGUUACGUACAGUACAGAUAUAUACUAUAGCAUAUUACCUUUAUGCUCUCGAUUUCAGUAUACGCCUGCGAACAAGUAAGUCGGUAAUAUCAAUGCCUAAGAACUACUUUGUUUGCCAUUCUAAUCGUUACAUCAGAGAGCAAUGGAUAUAGAAGAAAUAUGUAAACAGUUGUCCUUAGAAGAAAUAUGCAACAACUUAUUAAGGUUACUUAAUUAAUAACGCAUCUAUAUCAUUACAUACACAUAUUGAAUGUGCCUUUUGAGAGUGAGCUUCUGUCAUUACCUCACACUUAUCUUAUAUGCCAUUCCAACUAUCUGUUGCAGUAGAGAGCAAGGGACAUAUAAGAAAUCUCCAGGCAGCUUCACUUAGAUGCAUCAUCUUCUGCUAGGAGUCAGCUUGAAGAACGACCUUCUCAAGUUAAUUCUUGGGUCAGUGUUUCGGCUUUUCUCCAUUGGUUCAUAAAAACCAUAUGGUAACUUGACUUUACAUAGAACCUGCUGCACUAUAACUUUGGUUUAAUCUGUCGAUAAUGCCCAUGAGUAUAUUCUUAGUGUAUGUUUGACCAGAUUGUUUUAAGUUGUGUUGUUCCUAUGCUUCAGGAGACUGCAACUGACAUGUUGUAUGGCGAAUAACCAAAUUUGUGGACAAAGACAAAGAGUUCAUCGCAAGGGGUGGUGUUUAGGAUAUAUACACAAAAGAGGAAACUUUUUUUGUACAAAACCAAAUUAUAUGAUGUAAUUGACCACUAUUUCUAAGAAAUGUUCAUCAUGUAUUCAGUACAUUUUAUUGUCACUUUUUUUGAAGGGUAGCUUUAUUCAUCAAACAUCACAAAGUGUGUGAUAGAGUUCAUCAAACUAGGCUUUAUUGUGUCACCUAUGUUUAACUUCUUUUUUAUUGUGUCACCUAUGUUUACCUUCUCAAGUAUAUAUUUGAAGGACAAGUCUAUUCUUUUUUAUAAAAAUAGUUACAAUUCAUGUCC